GGAAUGUUGUUUGGCUCGAGG
rnacentral:miRNA from 6 species